rnacentral:lncRNA from 1 species
AAGAGUACUGCUCAGACUCAUGCCUGACAUUACUAAUGCUUUCUUGAAAAGUUAUUUGCAUCUUGGAUACAAGGAAAGAAGAAAUGUUUUUGUAGUUUAUUAAGGAAAUACUUUUUCUCUUCAUAAUAAUGCUUGGCACCUGUUUCUGUGAAUUACGUGAACAGUUUGUGGAGAGGCACAGAGAAGAAACCCAUAUACCUUAUUCUUACCUGUUUGGCUUUUACAAACAUCAUACUCCUUCUUGAAAAAGGAUUGCCAAAGACAAUAGCAGCUUUUGGCUUGAGAAACUUCCUAAAUGACACAAACUGUAAGAUUCUCCUUUACUUGGAGAGAGAGGGUAGCCCAUGGCCUCUCCAUUUGCACCAGCAGUCUCUGACCUGUGGUCUAGGCCAUCAUCCUUAGUCCCAGAGAAUCUGGGUGAAGAGGCUUAUACAAAAGUCUGCAUGGCACAUCCUUCCACUCUUCUCAUUCUUUUGGAUACUCAAAGAUUUAAUAAAUGUUAACCUAAUCCCUUCCAUCAAAUGCACAAGCCUUGAUAUGUCACAGCUUAAGACUGUCUACAACUAUUGUUAUUUUAUGUUAGAAAGUCAGAAAAUAAAGUGGAUUGUUCUCACUCUUGUGGUUCUGAGAGAUGCAGUGUUUCAGGGUGCCAUGGGAGGGGCCAGUGGUUACCUGGUAUUUUUUCUCUACAUGCACCACCAUCAUGUCCUCUACCUUCAGAACUCCAAGGUUCUCUACAGAACUCCCCAUGAGCUGAGAGCUGACCAGAGUGUCCUCUGUCUGAUACUACGUUUUGUUUUCUUCUACUGGAUAGAUUGUGCCUUUCCUCUUUUCCUAAAUCUCUCUUUAGGGGACUGUUCAUUGGUGACAAAUAUUCACAAAUUUUCUCACUUUUGUUUAUGCAAUCUAGCUCCAUUGUGCUGAUUCACAGAGAUGGACUUCUGACUAAAUGUUGACAUGCUCAGAGAGAAAAUGAGAAAAUGCAUUUAUCUAUAUGUUCAGUAAUUAUGAAAGAACUUUCAGUUCUACAGUAUUGUGGU